ACCGCCGGCAACGAUGGCGCUCGACAGCUCCGUCGUUGCGGCCCAGCCGCCGACGCCGGCAACGAGGGCAAGCGCAAGGACCGAGAC
rnacentral:sRNA from 1 species